rnacentral:rRNA from 1 species
AACGAACGCUGGCGGCAUGCCUAACACAUGCAAGUCGAACGAGAUCUUCGGGUCUAGUGGCGCACGGGUGCGUAACGCGUGGGAAUCUGCCCUUUGGUUCGGAAUAACAGUUGGAAACGACUGCUAAUACCGGAUGAUGACGAAAGUCCAAAGAUUUAUCGCCAGAGGAUGAGCCCGCGUAGGAUUAGCUAGUUGGUGUGGUAAAGGCGCACCAAGGCGACGAUCCUUAGCUGGUCUGAGAGGAUGAUCAGCCACACUGGGACUGAGACACGGCCCAGACUCCGACGGGAGGCAGCAGUGGGGAAUAUUGGACAAUGGGCGAAAGCCUGAUACAGCAAUGCCGCGUGAGUGAUGAAGGCCUUAGGGUUGUAAAGCCCUUUUACCCGGGAUGAUAAUGACAGUACCGGGAGAAUAAGCUCCGGCUAACUCCGUGCCAGCCGCCGCCGUAA